UAGCUUGACACUGAACAUUGAGCCUUGAUGUGUAGGAUAGGUGGGAGGCUUUGAAGUGUGGACGCCAGUCUGCAUGGAGCCGACCUUGAAAUACCACCCUUUAAUGUUUGAUGUUCUAACGUGGACCCGUGAUCCGGGUUGCGGACAGUGUCUGGUGGGUAGUUUGACUGGGGCGGUCUCCUCCUAAAGAGUAACGGAGGAGCACGAAGGUUGGCUAAUCCUGGUCGGACAUCAGGAGGUUAGUGCAAUGGCAUAAGCCAGCUUGACUGCGAGCGUGACGGCGCGAGCAGGUGCGAAAGCAGGUCAUAGUGAUCCGGUGGUUCUGAAUGGAAGGGCCAUCGCUCAACGGAUAAAAGGUACUCCGGGGAUAACAGGCUGAUACCGCCCAAGAGUUCAUAUCGACGGCGGUGUUUGGCACCUCGAUGUCGGCUCAUCACAUCCUGGGGCUGAAGUAGGUCCCAAGGGUAUGGCUGUUCGCCAUUUAAAGUGGUACGCGAGCUGGGUUUAGAACGUCGUGAGACAGUUCGGUCCCUAUCUGCCGUGGGCGCUGGAGAACUGAGGGGGGCUGCUCCUAGUACGAGAGGACCGGAGUGGACGCAUCACUGGUGUUCGGGUUGUCAUGCCAAUGGCACUGCCCGGUAGCUAAAUGCGGAAGAGAUAAGUGCUGAAAGCAUCUAAGCACGAAACUUGCCCCGAGAUGAGUUCUCCCUGAGACUUUAGGUCUCCUGAAGGAACGUUGAAGACGACGACGUUGAUAGGCCGGGUGUGUAAGCGCAGCGAUGCGUUGAGCUAACCGGUACUAAUGAACCGUGAGGCUUAACCUUACAACGCCGAAG
rnacentral:rRNA from 1 species